GAGUCAGGAUGUACAUGGAGCAAAGGGACAGGAGUUUUUCUCAAUUCUUUUGCUGUACAGAAAAAUCACUAUCUUGCAAUUAAAACUAUUUUCCUUGGUGGCACACUUCAAGAGUCUGGUUCUUUUGUCGGCAAAAGUUUCUAGUGCAUGAACAUGUAAUCCUAGGACACGCAGGAAUUAUCAGCUGAUAACCCUCUGCAUCCCCAAAGUGAAGAGGCUUGAAAGAAUCCUGGAAAUCUGAGUUGUAAAAGGAAGGUUAGAAAAUGGAUGCAAUCUGAAAAAGGAGAUAGAAAAA